CAACCCUUGUCCUUAGUUACCAGCACGUUAUGUGGGCGACUCUAAGGAGACUGCCGGUGACAAACCGGAGGAAGGUGGGGAGUGACGUCAAGUCAUCAUGGCCCUUACGGCCUGGGCUACACACGUGCUACAAUGGUCGGUACAAAGGGUUGCCAAGCCGCGAGGUGGAGCUAAUCCCAUAAAACCGAUCGUAGUCCGGAUCGCAGUCUGCAACUCGACUGCGUGAAGUCGGAAUCGCUAGUAAUCGUGAAUCAGAAUGUCACGGUGAAUACGUUCCCGGGCCUU
rnacentral:rRNA from 1 species